rnacentral:misc_RNA from 1 species
CCUGAGCCACGGGGAAAGUUGGCAGAAACGUUUACGCAAAGUAUCGUGUUGCAUCGCGAGUCCUCGCCACGAGUGGCAUAGUAUAUUUGACUUCCAAAAUGUAGAAAAUUUACUCCAUAUGUUGUUAUAUAAAUACGACACGUUAUGUAAGAUUGAUUUAUUUAGCGAUACAACGAUGACAGUAGUAUCUUACUGCAGUGCCAAUAAAAUUUCAAAAUGUUUUAUGUAAUACACGCAAUAUAUGCAAUACAAUUUUCCUAUUUCUCAUUACGUAAAACUGAGAAGAAGUUUGCAUACACCUGGUACACCCAGAAGUAUCGCCGUACAGUGCAGCAUUUGAAUGAAGAUUCGGAACAAAGAUCAAGAGAUGUGUAUAGAUAA